CAGUCGCCACGGUAAUACGUAGGUGGCAAGCGUUGUCCGGAUUUAUUGGGCGUAAAGCGAGCGCAGGCGGUCAAUUAAGCCUGAUGUGAAAGCCCCCGGCUCAACCGGGGAGGGUCAUUGGAAACUGGUUGACUUGAGUGCAGAAGAGGAGAGUGGAAUUCCAUGUGUAGCGGUGAAAUGCGUAGAUAUAUGGAGGAACACCAGUGGCGAAGGCGACUCUCUGGUCUGUAACUGACGCUGAGGCUCGAAAGCGUGGGUAGCGAACAGGAUUAGAUACCCGCGUAGUCCCUGUCUCUUAUAC
rnacentral:rRNA from 1 species